CAAGUUACUUAAGAGCAGCUCGAGCUGGACACCUAGAAAAGGCCCUUGACUACAUAAAAAACGGAGUUGACAUCAACAUUUGCAAUCAGAAUGGGUUGAACGCUCUCCAUCUCGCUUCCAAAGAAGGCCACGUAGAAGUGGUUUCUGAGCUGCUGCAGAGAGAAGCCAAUGUAGACGCAGCCACAAAGAAAGGGAACACAGCAUUGCACAUUGCAUCUUUGGCUGGGCAGGCAGAGGUGGUAAAGGUCUUGGUUACAAAUGGAGCCAAUGUCAACGCACAA